rnacentral:tRNA from 1 species
GUUUAGAUAGCUUAAUAAAAGCGUGUUAUUGAAGCUAACAACAUGGAACUUCCUCUAGACAA